rnacentral:rRNA from 1 species
CGUGCCUAAUACAUGCAAGUCGAACGCAUUUGUGGUUGAAAUGAUAUGAAGAACUUGUUCAGAUUUGAUUUUCAACAUUGCAAUGAGUGGCGAACGGGUGAGUAACACGUGGGAAACCUACCUCUUAGCAGGGGAUAACAUUUGGAAACAAUGCUAAUACCGUAUAAUAAUUAAAACCGCAUGGUUUUAGUUUAAAAGAUGGUCUUGCUAUCACUAAGAGAUGGUCCCGCGGUGUAUUAGUUAGUUGGUGAGGUAAUGGCUCACCAAGACAAUGAUACAUAGCCGAGUUGAGAGACUGACCGGCCACAAUGGGACUGAGACACGGCCCAUACUCCUACGGGAGGCAGCAGUAGGGGAUCUUCCACAAUGGACGAAAGUCUGAUGGAGCAACGCCGCGUGUGUGAUGAAGGGUUUCGGCUCGUAAAACACUGUUGUAAGAGAAGAAUGACAUUGAGAGUAACUGUUCAAUGUGUGACGGUAUCUUACCAGAAAGGAACGGCUAAAUACGUG